rnacentral:rRNA from 1 species
UACGUAGGGCGCAAGCGUUGUCCGGAAUUAUUGGGCGUAAAGAGCUCGUAGGCGGUUUGUCACGUCUGCUGUGAAAUCCCGAGGCUCAACCUCGGGCCUGCAGUGGGUACGGGCAGACUGGAGUGCGGUAGGGGAGAAUGGAAUUCCUGGUGUAGCGGUGGAAUGCGCAGAUAUCAGGAGGAACACCGAUGGCGAAGGCAGUUCUCUGGGCCGUAACUGACGCUGAGGCGCGAAAGCGUGGGGAGCGAACAGG